rnacentral:rRNA from 1 species
CAGUCGCCGCGGUAAUACGUAGGUGGCGAGCGUUAUCCGGAUUUAUUGGGCGUAAAGCGCGUCUAGGUGGUUAUGUAAGUCUGAUGUGAAAAUGCAGGGCUCAACUCUGUAUUGCGUUGGAAACUGUGUAACUAGAGUACUGGAGAGGUAAGCGGAACUACAAGUGUAGAGGUGAAAUUCGUAGAUAUUUGUAGGAAUGCCGAUGGGGAAGCCAGCUUACUGGACAGAUACUGACGCUAAAGCGCGAAAGCCAGGGGAGCGAACGGGAUUAGAUACCCCCGUAGUCCCUGUCUCUUAUACC